rnacentral:rRNA from 1 species
UUGUCCGGAUUUAUUGGGCGUAAAGCGAGCGCAGGCGGAAAAAUAAGUCUAAUGUGAAAGCCUUCGGCUUAACCGAAGAAGUGCAUCGGAAACCGGGCAACUUGAGUGCAGAAGAGGACAGUGGAACUCCAUGUGUAGCGGUGGAAUGCGUAGAUAUAUGGAAGAACACCAGUGGCGAAGGCGGCUGUCUGGUCUGCAACUGACGCUGAGGCUCGAAAGCAUGGGUAGCGAACAGGAUUAGAUACCCUGGUAGUCCAUGCCGUAAACGAUGAGUGCUAGGUGUUGGAGGGUUUCCGCCCUUCAGUGCCGGAGCUAACGCAUUAAGCACUCCGCCUGGGGAGUACGGCCGCAAGGCUGAAACUCAAAGGAAUUGACGGGGGCCCGCACAAGCGGUGGAGCAUGUGGUUUAAUUCGAAGCUACGCGAAGAACCUUACCAGGUCUUGACAUCUUGCGCUAACCUUAGAGAUAAGGCGUUCCCUUCGGGGACGCAAUGACAGGUGGUGCAUGGUCGUCGUCAGCUCGUGUCGUGAGAUGUUGGGUUAAGUCCCGCAACGAGCGCAACCCUUGUUACUAGUUGCCAGCAUUAAGUUGGGCACUCUAGUGAGACUGCCGGUGACAAACCGGAGGAAGGUGGGGACGACGUCAGAUCAUCAUGCCCCUUAUGACCUGGGCUACACACGUGCUACAAUGGUUGGUACAACGAGUCGCAAGCUCGCGAGAGUAAGCAAACCUCUUAAAGCCAAUCUCAGUUCGGACUGUAGGCUGCAACUCGCCUACACGAAGUCGGAAUCGCUAGUAAU